rnacentral:rRNA from 1 species
CCUACGGGAGGCAGCAGUGGGGAAUAUUGGACAAUGGGGGGAACCCUGACCCAGCGACGCCGCGUGAGUGAAGCAGUAUUUCGGUUUGUAAAGCUCUUUUAUCAGGGACGAAAGAAAUGACGGUACCUGACUAAGAAGCCCCGGCUAACUCCGUGCCAGCAGCCGCGGUAAUACGUAGGGGGCAAGCGUUAUCCGGAUUAACUGGGUGUAAAGGGAGCGUAGGCGGCGAUGCAAGUCAGUAGUGAAAGGCCGGGGCCCAACCCCUGGACUGCUUUGGAAACUGUAUGGCUGGAGGGCAGGAGAGGUAAGUGGAAUUCCUAGUGUAGCGGUGAAAUGCGGAGAUAUUAGGAGGAACACCAGUGGCGAAGGCGGGUUGCUGGACUGUAACUGACGUUGAGGCGCGAAAGCGUGGGGAGCAAACAGGAUUAGAUACCCUUGUAGUC